CUGUCUUAUCAUAACUAUCUACUUCAAAUAAUUUUUAAAGCCCUGGUCUUUUUCAAGUAGUUUUUUGUCCCGAAAAAGUAAAAAACUUAGAAAUGGUGAUUAAUUUAUUUACUACGGUAUGUUAUUUAAUAACGAGCAAGGGUUAUGGUAGGGUUAGGGUUAAGUUAUAAAGUUGGUGUUUGGAAUAGGGUUAGUGUAAAGCUUUGUUACUUUUUGUCAUUCUGAGGCCAGCGAAAUAAUCUCUUACGCAACAUGCAUGCGUACGCGUCUACUAUCGUCAAGAAACAAUGAAUACGUAUAAUCGUUGUGGUCUGUGGGAUUUUAAUGAAAUUUAAUGACCUUGCAGUUUUAACACACAUUAGCCGAAUUCAUAUUAGAGACGGGAAACUCGUAUUAGACGGGAAACUCGUCUUAAAUUCGAAUUUAUCCGUCCCUAAAUUCAUAUUCAGACGGGUUUUCACAGACGAG